rnacentral:rRNA from 1 species
GAUGAACGCUAGCGGCAGGCUUAACACAUGCAAGUCGAGGGGCAGCGCGGGGCGGCAACGUCCUGGCGGCGACCGGCGGAAGGGUGCGUAACGCGUGAGCGACAUGCCCGUUGCCCGGGGACAACCGGUGGAAACGCCGACUAAUCCCCGAUGGGACGGAGGCCCUCAUGGGUCUCUGUUGAAAGUUACGGCGGCGACGGAUUGGCUCGCGUCCGAUUAGCUUGUUGGCGGGGUAACGGCCCACCAAGGCUACGAUCGGUAGGGGUUCUGAGAGGAAGGUCCCCCACAAUGGAACUGAGACACGGUCCAUACUCCUACGGGAGGCAGCAGUGAGGAAUAUUGGUCAAUGGGCGGAAGCCUGAACCAGCCAUGCCGCGUGCGGGAAGGAGGCCCUAUGGGCUGUGAACCGCUUUUGCCUGGGGGCAAUAAGGGCGUCGCGCACGUCCGAUGAGAGUACCAGGGGAAUAAGCAUCGGCUAACUCCGUGCCAGCAGCCGCGGUAAUACGGGGGAUGCGAGCGUUAUCCGGAUUCAUUGGGUUUAAAGGGUGCGUAGGCUGUGCGUCAAGUCAGGGGUGAAAUUCCGGGGCUCAACUCCGGGGCUGCCCUUGAUACUGUCGCGCUGGAGUGCGGAUGCCGCCGGAGGAAUGAGUGGUGUAGCGGUGAAAUGCUUAGAUAUCACUCAGAACACCGAUUGCGAAGGCAUCUGGCGAAUCCGUAACUGACGCUGAGGCACGAAAGCGUGGGGAUAGAACAGGAUUAGAUACCCUGGUAUUCCACGCCGUAAACGAUGAUGGCUAACCGCCGGCGACAUACUGUCGGUGGCCAAGCGAAAGCGAUAAGCCAUCCACCUGGGGAGUACGUCGGCAACGAUGCAA